AGUCGUCCGAGGAAGAUGCCAGACCUCAGAUCCAGCAACAGAUUAGUUGUCCUCAGUCGUCCGGUGCACGUUCCAGAUCUUACACCCCGCAACAACCCUGUCCUCAAGAUUCAAGAUCCACGAGCAGGGCAAGCUCGCCACAACGUCCGACACAGGAGAUUAUUAACGACAUAGAACGAGUCCGAGAGAACUUGCGGGACGUCAAGUCUCGUCUGGAACACAGUGCCAGCCCUAAACCUGGACCUUCACACGGUGUAUGUCCGUCCUCCAGUGGCCGUUCUAGAUCUCAUAGUCCGCCAUGUCCGCUGUUCUCCUCAG